rnacentral:rRNA from 1 species
UACGUAGGUGGCAAGCGUUGUCCGGAUUUAUUGGGUUUAAAGGGUGCGUAGGCGGCCUUGUAAGUCAGUGGUGAAAUACUCCAGCUUAACUGGAGGGGUGCCAAUGAUACUGCAGGGCUUGAGUACAGAUGAGGUAGGCGGAAUUGACGGUGUAGCGGUGAAAUGCAUAGAUAUCGUCAAGAACACCGAUAGCGAAGGCAGCUUACUGGGCUGUAACUGACGCUGAGGCGCGAAAGUGUGGGGGAUCAAACAGG